GCAUGUUAUAGAGGUAAAGCCUACAUUUCUAAUAAGAUGCAAUGACUGUAAUUAUUAUUUCAAAUAAAUCUUAAAAAACUGCUUGAGCAGAUGGUAAAUCAAAAUGAUAUGAUUAGAGAUAAUUGCCUCUUGAGUUUAUACCCCCGAAAUAUAUUUAUUCUGUGUUUAUUCCAGGUAUCUAUACCCCAAAUAUAUAUUUAUCCUAUGUUGAUCCCAGGUAUCUAUAGUCCAACAAAAAUAUUUAUCCUGUGUUGAUCCCAGGUAUCUAUAGUCCAAAAUAUAUUUAUCCUGUGCUUAUCCCAGGUAUCUAUACCCAACAUAUAUUUAUCCUGUGUUUAUCCCAGGUAUCUAUACCCACAAAUAUAUUUAUCCUGUGCUUAUCCCAGGUAUCUAUACCCACAAUUAUAUUUAUCCUGUGUUUAUGCCAUGUAUCUAUACCCAACAUAUAUUUAUCCUGUGUUUAUCCCAGGUAUCUAUACCCAACAUAUAUUUAUCCUGUGCUUAUCCCAGGUAUCUAUACCCACAAUUAUAUUUAUCCUGUGUUUAUCCCAGGUAUCUAUACCCACAAUUAUAUUUAUCCUGUGUUUAUCCCAUGUAUCUAUACCCAACAUAUAUUUAUCCUGCGUUUAUCCCAUGUAUCUAUACCCCAAAAUAUAUUUAUCCUUUGCUUAUCCUAGAUAUCUAUACUCACAAAUAUAUUUAUUCUGUGCUUAUCCCAGGUAUCUAUACCCAAAAAUAUAUUUAUUGUGUGUGUAACCCGUGUGUCUAUACCCCAACAUAUAUUUAUCCUGUGUUUACCCUGUGGGUCUAUACUCAAAAUAUAUUUAUCCUGUGUUUAAU